rnacentral:rRNA from 1 species
AGUGAACGCUGGCGGUAGGCCUAACACAUGCAAGUCGAACGGCAGCACAGUAAGAUCUUGCUCUUACGGGUGGCGAGUGGCGGACGGGUGAGGAAUACAUCGGAAUCUACUUUUUCGUGGGGGAUAACGUAAAGAAACUUACGCUAAUACCGCAUACGACCUACGGGAGGAAGCAGGAGAUCUUCGGACCUUUCGCGAUUGAAUGAGCCGAUGUCGCAUUAGCUAGUUGGCGGGGUAAAGGCCCACCAAGGCGACGAUCCGUAGCGGGUCUGAGAGGAUGAUCAGCCACACUGGAACUGAGACACGGUCCAGACUCCUACGGGAGGCAGCAGUGGGGAAUAUUGGACAAUGGGCGAAAGCCUGAUCCAGCCAUACCGCGUGGGUGAAGAAGGCCUUCGGGUUGUAAAGCCCUUUUGUUGGGAAAGAAAAGCAGUAGGUGAAUCCCCCGCUGUUCUGACGGUACCUAAAGAAUAAGCACCGGCUAACUUCGUG